CUUGUCCUACGGGGGGCAGCAGUGGGGAAUAUUGGGCAAUGGGCGCAAGCCUGCCACAGCAACGCCGCGUGAAGGAAGAAAGCUUUCGGGUUGUAAACUUCUUUUAAGAGGGAAGAGCAGAAGACGGUACCUCUUGAAUAAGCCACGGCUAACUACGUGCCAGCAGCCGCGGUAAUACGUAGGUGGCAAGCGUUGUCCGGAUUUACUGGGUGUAAAGGGCGUGUAGCCGGGCUGACAAGUCAGAUGUGAAAUUCCGGGGCUCA
rnacentral:rRNA from 1 species